AGUAAGUCAGACUGUCGCAGCGGUGGCUGAUACCAUCGAUGAGGAAAGUCCGGGCUUCGCAGGGCAGGGUGCCGGGUAACUCCCGGUGGAGGCGACUCUAAGGAUAGUGCAACAGAAAUAGACUACCGCAUAAGCGGUACAGGUGGAAAGGCGAGGUAAAAGCUCACCGGCGCAUAGGUAACUAUGCGGCCAUGUAAACCCCAUCCGAAGCAACACCAACCGGAAGGCUUGAAUCGGCCCGACUACUUCCAAAAGGUGGCUUGAGCGUUGCAGAGAUGCAGCGCCUAGAUAGAUGACAGUCUAAUACAGAACCCGGCUUAUAGAUUUGCUCAA
rnacentral:RNase_P_RNA from 1 species